rnacentral:rRNA from 1 species
UACGAAGGGGGCUAGCGUUGUUCGGAAUCACUGGGCGUAAAGCGCACGUAGGCGGACUGUUAAGUCAGGGGUGAAAUCCUGGGGCUCAACUCCAGAACUGCCUUUGAUACUGGCGAUCUCGAGUCCGGGAGAGGUGAGUGGAACUGCGAGUGUAGAGGUGAAAUUCGUAGAUAUUCGCAAGAACACCAGUGGCGAAGGCGGCUCACUGGUCCGGUACUGACGCUGAGGUGCGAAAGCGUGGGGAGCAAACAGG